GACGAACGCUGGCGGCGUGCUUAAUACAUGCAAGUCGAACGAAAGGCCCCGGAUUUUGUGGGUUGUAUGUUUGCGGAAGGGGGGUGAAUAACGGGUGUAUCUCCCCCUUACCUUUGGGUUAAUUCUAGGAAAAAGGGGCUAUAACAGCGUAGGACUUCUUGCUCCGCGUGGGGGGUGGGAAAAUUUCGGCGGUGGGGGUUGGAUUCGCGGUUUACGCGCUGCUUUGGGGGGUAGGGGCUGACAAGGCUUUCGACGGUUAGCCGGCCUGAGAGGGUGACCGGCCACAUUGGGACUGAGAGACGGCCCAGACUCCUACGGGAGGCAGCAGUGGGGAAUAUUGCACAAUGGGCGGAAGCCUGAUGCAGCAACGCCGCGUGCGGGAUGACGGCCUUCGGGUUGUAAACCGCUUUCGCCUGUGACGAAGCGUGAGUGACGGUAAUGGGUAAAGAAGCACCGGCUAACUACGUG
rnacentral:rRNA from 1 species